rnacentral:lncRNA from 1 species
UCAAAUUUGAUAACUAUAUCCUUUAAUCAAACCAAGGUUUGAGAGGAAUGACAUUAUGACCAAUUUUUAAUAACAAGAGCCACUAUGAUUCCAGUUCAAGGAGGUUAUCAAAUCUCAGUAUGGAAUAGAGCAGUAGUUAGUUAUUCAAGAAUGUUUGAUACAAGGGCAAAUUCAAGUGUCAAUACACAAGAAACAGUUAAUGUCAC